UCAGCUUAUUCAAUUCUUGUUAUUAUGGACUGGGAUCAAUUGAUUUCCAAGAGAAGAGCCAUUAUCGUCCAGUUUUCUAAAUAUAAUUUUGAGCCUCCACUCCAGAUAAUACGCAAGAUAAUGUAAUAUCAAUCGAAACUGCAAUACGAUUGACCUCGUGACAUUAUAUUGGUUGAUUGUCUUCAUACACUGAAUUUAUUAUAUUAAUACUUUUUUCUUUCUAGCUGUGGUAAAAUUUUCUUAAUAAGCCAACACAUAUGAAGAAUAAUAUGAACAAAUAAAAUAAACAUAAGCCCAUCCAAUACAAACCCUCAAAAACAUAAAAGAAAGAAAACCCAAUCAAGAAUAGAAAAGACCAAAAUAUAUUUAAUGCUUGAAGAAAGCAAGCAUGGACAAAAUCAAAGAGGAGCAGAUCAUAGCACUAGAAAUCCCAGAAGAAUAGGCAGCUCCCUUGUCCAUGGUUGGUACCGGGGAUGGUGCCAUCCCAAAUUCCUGAGCUUCAACACUUGCAAAAUACAUUGCCACAACCAAAAGGAAUGAAGCCACAGCCUUGAAUGUGCUCAAUUGUGCCAUUGAUCUAUAGAUAACGAAAAGGAUUGGAAAGGAAAAAUGUAGAGGAAGUGAUGGAUUAUUGCUGUUGUUUGAUUUGAUAAAAAAAGCUUGUGUCUUGAAUGGUAUUUAUAGGAUUGGAUAUGAAAGAGUGUGGACCCAAAUUAAAACUUGGAAUUAGCUGUAACAUGUUUAAUUCCAGUAAGUAAAGGAACCUUUCAUAUGGAUAUUGGGUGUUGUUCACAUGGGUUAGCUUCAGC
rnacentral:lncRNA from 1 species